GAAAAUUUGAACUCCAUCUUCAUAUAUGUUAUUGCAGAUGGUUCUAACCAGAAAUCUUGGAUAAAUAAUAAUUCAACCAAAAAAGUGGAAUAUAUCACACAUGCAACUCAUGAUGUAUCUACACUAAUACUAUAUGACCAAAAUAAAAAAUUGGAGAUGCAAAUGCUGUAAACAUCAUAACCUCAAAUCCAGAAGAGGUUUGGGA
rnacentral:misc_RNA from 1 species